UACAGAGGGUGCGAGCGUGUUCGGAAUUAUUGGGCGUAAAGCGCGUGUAGGCGGCUUUGCAAGUCGGGUGUGAAAGCCCUCAGCUCAACUGAGGAAGUGCGCCCGAAACUGCAGAGCUUGAGUUCCGGAGAGGAUGGCGGAAUUCCCGAAGUAGAGGUGAAAUUCGUAGAUAUCGGGAGGAACACCGGUGGCGAAGGCGGCCAUCUGGACGGAUACUGACGCUGAGACGCGAAAGCGUGGGGAGCAAACAGG
rnacentral:rRNA from 1 species